UGGGGCGUAGCCAAGCGGUAAGGCAUCGGUUUUUGGUACCGUGAUCGCAGGUUCGAAUCCUGCCGCCCCAG
rnacentral:tRNA from 1 species